UCUAUCCAACCUUACAUUUCCUGGAUCAGGUACCGUCUACUGCAAGCAUUACCCUGUACACAGACCUUUCUCCACAAAAGCACAUUGUAUUGGUGACUAGAGUGAUGGACAACCCGGAGUCAGGUCAUCUUGGGACAAAUUCUGGCCACUUGUUCAUUUCAGUAUUUGCUCUGUUUGCUGUACUGGCCACCACUGCUGCACUUUUCAUAGUGUACAAUACCAUGCCGUCUCUCACACAGACUGUACCUGCAAUCCUCAAACCUUCUACUAAUACAGGUGACACUCCCAUUUUAUUUGAUCCAGCUGCUUUACCUUAAAGGUACACUCAGUUCUUUUUAUGUUAA